UCCAACAUCCUAUUUAAAAGUGGUACUAUAAUGUUGUGGAACUCCAAAAUCAGGAAGCUAUUCUUAAACACUCCUCACUGGGAGGAAAUAAAAUAUAAAAUCAAUUCAUCACUUAAUGUUUUACCCAGCAACAUAUUACUUACUAAACUGCAGGUAUCACAGGUUUGGUCUUAACAGUGUCAAAUUAAUGAUAGUCAUCCUGUACAUUCAGAAUAUUGUAGUUUACAGUACUCCCCAUAAGUAUUGGAUCCCCCACCUGGGUGGUUCAAUACUUAUGGCAAAAAAAGCAUUGACUUUUAAGAAUAAAUUAUUUUAGCCAAAAAUAUUAUCCAUGAUAUCACCACAUCCCUCAGCUUUGUGCCAAUACAUUACAACACACAAUAACAGCUCAGUGUGUUUUAGGCUGCAUUGGACAGGAAAAGCCUAGCACACCUUGCUCCACUUCCUGACAUAUUAUUGCGCAAUGACAUCUUGUAAUAGAUCAUUCUGUUCACCAAUAUGGCUAAAAUGAAGGAGUAUUCAUAUGGUAUUAUUGUGUAAAUCACUAGGGUGAAGGAAACAGGUCAUUCAGUCAGCAGUAUACAAGACAACAGUCAAGCGUUGGUAACAGCAGUUUGGGAGAAAGGGAGGCAAGCAAUGCCUAUCCCUAAAAAAAACCUCUCUGAACACCUCAAGAAGACAACUAAGAGGAUUGUUAUUAUCUUACAGUGUACAGAACUAGCCUGAUGAUGCCAUCUGUGAAGGUGAAACAUUGCAAGCAAUAAAUUGAAGAAGAAACUCUGGAUAUAUCCCUGUUCACCUCAUCAAUAACAUGGAACCUUUCUACUUUCAACAUACCUGGCCCAGGGAACAACCUUUCAAGUAACUUCAAGUUAAUGGGAUGGAUUGUAAUCUUCACUGCAUCUCAGUGCAUACAAUUCAUGGCUGGAUCUUGAUACAGUAUUGAGGACUCUACUCCUCCUCCAUGCCAUGCAAUGGUUGACUAAGAUGGUGUGAUACUAUGAGGCUAAAACUGAUAGAAGUAAGGUUGAUGGAAACUUGAAAAAAAAGAACUGCUGAAGAGGUAACUAAAGGAAAGUCUAUAAGAGAAGUCAGCUGUGCAUUGCAGGGCUGUUUUUAUUUUUAUGUAGGAGGGGCACUGGCCAAGGGCAACAAAAAUCUAAUAAAAAAAAAAAGCCCACUGAGAUGCCAGUCCCCAAAUAGGAUCUCAAGCAGUGGUCAAAAAUUAGAGGAUAAGUGUCUUGAAACCUCCCUCUUGAAGGGCUUCAAGUCAUAAGAAGGUGAAAAUACAGAAGCAGGAAGGGAGUUCCAGAGUUUACCAGAGAAAGGGAUGAAUGACUGAGAAUACUGGUUAACUCUUGCAUUAGAGAAUAGGGAUGAGAGAAAGAAGAAGCAUGCUGUUAGCAAGAUCAGAAGAACAGUUAGUGUGAAAAUAGCAGUAGAAGAUAGCAAAAGAUGCAACACUGCAGUGAUGAGAAAGAGGCUGAAGACAGCCAGUUAGAGGAAAAGAGUUGAUGAGAUGAAAAGGUUUUGAUUCCACCCUGUCUAAAAUAGCAGUAUGAGUGGAACCCCCCCAACAUGUGAAGCAUACUCCAUACACAGAUGGAUAGGGCCCUUGUACAGAGUUAGCAUGUUGGGGGGUGUGAGAAAUGGUGACAAAUACUGGUGCAAAAUGUCUCGGAAUGCCUAACUUCAUAGAAGCUGUUUUAGCUAGAGAUGAGUUGUGAAGUUUCCAGCAUAGAUUAUAAGAAAAGGACAGACCAAGGAUGUUCAGUGUAAAAGAGGAGGACAGUUGAGUGUCAUUGAAGAAGAGGGGAUAGUUGUCUAGAAGGUUGUGUUGAGUUGAUAGAUGAGGAAUUGAGUUUUUGAAGCAUUGAACAAUACCAAGUUUGCUCUGCCCCAAUUAGAAAUUUUAGAGAGAUAAGAAGUGAGGUGUUCUGUGGGUUCCCUGUGUGAAAUGUUCAAUUCCUGAAGGGUUGGACAUCUAUGGAAAAAUGUGGGAAAGUGCAGGGUGGUAUCAUCAGAGUAGGAAUGGAUAGGGCAAGAAGUUUGGUGUAGAAACAGGAUAGGACAGAAUCCUGAGGAACAGUCUUAAUAGAUUUAGAAGAAAAACAGUGACCAUCUACCAUAGCAGCAAUAGAAUGGUCAGAAAGGAAACUUGAGAUGAAGUUACAGAGGGAAGGAUAGAAGCUGUAGGAGGGUAGUCAGGAAAUCAAAGCUUUGUGCCAGACUCUAUCAAAAACUUUUGAUAUGUCUAAAGCAACGACAAAAGUUUCAUCAAAAUCUCUAAAAGAGCAUGACCAAGACUCAGUAAGGAAAGCCAGAAGAUCACCAGUAGAGCAGCCUUGACGUAAUCCAUACUGGCGAUCAGAUAGAAGGUUGUGAAGUGAUAGAUGUUUAAGAAUCUUCCUGUUGAGGAUUGAUUCAAAAACUUUAGAUGGGCAGGAAAUUAAAGCAAUAGGAUGGUAGUUUGAGGGAUUAGAACAGUCACUCUUUUUAGGAACUGGAAUUACAUUAUUGUGGUAUUUCAAGAAGUUCCAAACAGGACAUGCAGAAGAAAUCAAGGACUGUGCUCCAAAAUACAAUUCAAGACAGACAACUCAUCUCACUUCCCUAAUAAUUGGGAAUUCAGUGCUUGUGACUCAGGGUGGGAUGCAGCUGUCUACCAUCCCUGCAGCUUGAGGACUGCAGUCCCCACCAGGGUUGAAAACCCAACAACAAGGAGUGCACCGUAGCAAGGUUGGGGAGUGGCUAUGUCAACCAACUGAAUCAUUCUCACAUUCCCUGUCGACUCAGGGUGCAGGUGAAUGCCAGACAAGAGUCUAGCCUUGGACCUGCUUGUGUGGAGCUUAGUAUAAUUUUGGUAGGGAUAGGUUUGAAUUUUGUGUAGACUGGGGAAAUUCUUGUUAUAUUUUUCAUUGUUAACCUGCAAUGAUAUUUUCUGAUGUUAAUUUAUGAUUCAGUUUUUGUAAAUAUUGUUAUCUUCAGUAUGUAGUUUUUCCAUACUUUUAAUGUUUGUUCAUGUAGUUUGAUAUUGAUAGGUUUGGUUUUUGUAUAGUCAUGUAUUUCUUCAGUGGUAAGGGUGUAUAGGUAUUUUUAGUUUGUGGCAGGCAAAGUCUAGUGCUUUGUUUUGCACCUUUUGUAGAAUACUGAUCUGUGUUGUGGAGAGUGCAUGUACAGGGAUUGGGGGAUAAUCUAGAAUUGGUAUUACUAGUGCCUUUACUAGAUGGGUUUUGAUUUUCUCGCAAUCUUAAUAGUUUUCUUAGAGCAAUAUUGGCUUUGUUUGUCCUUUCCAUUGUAUUUGCUCUGCAACCAUUGGUGGCGAUUUGUAGUCCAAGGGAUUUUCCACUUGAUUUAAAUUUUAUUUCACUGUUGUUGAUAUUUAAAGGGUAGGUGACUUGCUCCAAGGUGUAUAUAUGUGAAUUUUUGCAGAUUUCAAAAUUCAUUAAUUUUGAUUAUUUCUCUCUCUGAUAGUGCAUUUAUCAAAUUUUUUUUAUUUGCUUUGGUAGCCAAUAACUUGAAUUAUAUAUAUCAUCUGCAUACAUGAUGUUUAUUCCUUGUCAUGGUUUGUCUAAAUCAUUAGUAUAUUGGAGAGAGUACACUGCCUUGAGGCACUCUGCACUCAAUUUUGAAUUUGGGCCCCAUGUAAUUGUCAUUUAUGGUGUGUGCUUUCCUGUCAUCUAAGAAGUUGGAGGAUUUUGUAUUUUAAGCCAACCUGCCAUACUUUGUCAAAUGCUUUUGAGAUAUCAUGCAUUAUAAUUGGCAUUUUCUCCCUUCCACUUUGUAUUGUGAAAUUUGUUCUGUUAUUAAAGCUAGUGCCAUGUGCAUUCCUUUCCCACUCUUGAAGCUAAA